rnacentral:rRNA from 1 species
UACGGGGGGAGCAAGCGUUGUUCGGAAUUACUGGGCGUAAAGGGCUCGUAGGUGGCCAACUAAGUCAGACGUGAAAUCCCUCGGCUUAACCGGGGAACUGCGUCUGAUACUGGAUGGCUUGAGUUUGGGAGAGGGACGCGGAAUUCCAGGUGUAGCGGUGAAAUGCGUAGAUAUCUGGAGGAACACCGGUGGCGAAGGCGGCGUCCUGGACCAACACUGACACUGAGGAGCGAAAGCCAGGGGAGCAAACGGG